CGGGGUGUGGCGCAGUACGGUAGCGCACCGCGUUUGGGACGCGGGGGUCGGCGGUUCAAGUCCGCCCGCCCCGACCU
rnacentral:tRNA from 1 species